GCACGGGGUAGUAGGUUAUUGUUAUUCUCAAGCAUAGUGACAGUUGUUCAUAACAGCAACAGUCCUUUUGCAAUUACUUCUAUUGUUGCUUAGACAGGAUCAGACUGGACAAGCUUUAGAGAAGAAAUGAAGAGAGACAAAAAACAUUACUUAAUUCUGUCUGGCAUUCCCCUCAAAGUGAUCCACAAGAAGGGUGUGUUACAACUCUGAGUGAGGCUGGUGGGUCCUUGGUUUUCAUGCAAAAGACAGUAGGUCCUCA
rnacentral:lncRNA from 12 species